GACGAACGCUGGCGGCGUGCUUAACACAUGCAAGUCGAACGGUGAAGCGCCUUCCUUUUUGGUGGGUGUGGAUGAGUGGCGAACGGGUGAGUAACACGUGAGUAACCUGCCCCCUUCUUCUGGAUAACCGCAUGAAAGUGUGGCUAAUACGGGAUAUUCUGGGUCUGUCGCAUGAUGGGUCUGGGAAAGAUAUUGUUUCGGUUGGGGAUGGGCUCGCGGCCUAUCAGCUUGUUGGUGGGGUGAUGGCCUACCAAGGCGGUGACGGGUAGCCGGCCUGAGAGGGUGGACGGUCACACUGGGACUGAGACACGGCCCAGACUCCUACGGGAGGCAGCAGUGGGGAAUAUUGCACGAUGGGCGCAAGCCUGAUGCAGCGACGCCGCGUGAGGGAUGGAGGCCUUCGGGUUGUGAACCUCUUUCGCCAGUGAAGCAGGCCUGCCUCGUUUGUGGGUGGGUUGACGGUAGCUGGAUAAGAAGCGCCGGCUAACUACGUG
rnacentral:rRNA from 1 species